rnacentral:rRNA from 1 species
UACGUAGGGCGCAAGCGUUAUCCGGAAUUAUUGGGCGUAAAGAGCUCGUAGGCGGUCUGUCGCGUCUGCUGUGAAAACUCAGGGCUUAACCCUGAGCUUGCAGUGGGUACGGGUAGACUAGAGUGCGGUAGGGGAGACUGGAAUUCCUGGUGUAGCGGUGAAAUGCGCAGAUAUCAGGAGGAACACCGGUGGCGAAGGCGGGUCUCUGGGCCGUAACUGACGCUGAGGAGCGAAAGCAUGGGGAGCGAACAGG